AAAGGUGAAAUUGGAUUAUUAUUAAAUAAAUGAAAUUGAAGCUGAAGCUAAGAAAGUUUAAUUAUAGACUAGGAUUAGAUACCCUAUUAUUUUAAACUAUAAAUGAAAAAUGAAACUCUAGAUAAGUAGUAGAUAGGUACUUAAAAAUUAAAAAAUUUGGCGGUGAUUUAAUCUUUUCAGAGGAACUUGUUUUAUAAUCGAUAAACCACGUUUAAUCUUACUUAAGUAUGUAUACCAUCAUUAUCAGGUGAUUUUUAAAGAAAAAAUUACUAAAAAUAAUUAGUUAAAUAAAUUAGAUCAUGGUGCAGCUUAUAAAUAAGGUAAAAUGAGUUACAAUAAAGCUUUUUAAAUGAAUUAGUAACUAUGAAGGUGGAUUUGAUUGUAAGUGUGGAUUAAUAAGCUUAUUUGAUAUUGGUGCUAAAUCAUGUACAUAUCGCCCGUCGCUUUC
rnacentral:rRNA from 1 species